rnacentral:hammerhead_ribozyme from 17 species
CAAGCGUCUGGAGUAAGAAGUCGCUGCCAUCAGCCCCACUGAUGAGUCUAGGCAAGACGAAACGCAUA